rnacentral:lncRNA from 1 species
GUGACAUUCAUGGAUCUCAACGAAGCCGAAAAAAAUAGAAACGAGAUUGCAAAAGUUCAUUCCUGCAUGAGCUGCGAAAUGCGUGUAAAGUUAUUGAAAUGCAUUGAAAGUAAUGUACAACUUGCACGUUAGACUAAAUUUUAAUCUAAGUAAACACAAGGUAAUCGAACACCACAGCUAAAAAGAACAUAAUGAAUUAGUAAAAGUGCAAAAUUUGGUUCCGAUCGAAAUGUUGUAAAGCUUGGAAAACAUUUGUUUGUAUUACGUGCGGAAGUUGUUACCAUUUUCGCUCAAAAAUGAUCCAAUAAAAAAGUUUAGGGUAGGGAUUUUGGCCUCCAAAAGCUAGGUAGGGUCGGGAAACCGGGAAUUUACUUUUUUAUGCCUGGACCAAAAAUUAGUCUAAUAUAAUUAUGCAAGUACGUUGUCUAUUGAUUUUGUUAAUUAGUUGUCGAAAGUGAAUGCACCAAUAAACUUAUGCUGCGUGUCAUGCUCUAUGCUUGAAAUAGAGCCUGCAAAAGAAGUCAAUAAAAAGAACGCAAAAUUCCCAUUGGUCAGGAAUAAAUAGCCUUGCCUUUUAAGGUAAUAUCAAGUUGUUAUAUUCCGUUCUUGUACUUUUGGCCGCAUUACUGCCUUUGCUGUCUAUAAACACGAUCAAUAACCGUUAUUAUUAUUUAAUAUGUAAUUCCUGGCCUUUUCAUGAAAAUUGGAAUAUCGGAUAUGAUUGAAUAUGGAGAUAUUCGCGGAAACAUUGGCCGUUAUUGUCAUAUCUUAAAUUAACUUUGAUAAUCUAAAUAACAAUCGCCGUUUUGAUUGGUUGUUAUUUUCGUGAAUCCAAAUCACUAUAUUGUUCACUUUAUAUCGACUUCAGUAGCAGGUUCUGUUUCAAGCAUACAGCCUGAGACGCAGGCUACAAUAGAACUGUGCUGAUUAUUGCACUAUCGUCCCAAUUCGUUUUCAUAUGGUCAGUUCCUUGUUUCGUGCACAAUAGGGUUAAGGAUAGGCUUGUAUCGGCCUCAAGAUCAAAGAGAAACAUAUUCGCCGCAAAUUCGUGCAUGAAUCGUGGAUAUAUAACCUUCAUGUGCGCCUGUCAUGCUAAACAAGACACACGUGAAAACGAGGCCAUUGGGACAAUAGUGCCAUAAGCAGUAAAGUUUAUUACUAUUUGCAAUUUGGACAAUAACACAUUGCUCAAAAGUUGAACUAAUAACAUAACUUUCUCCUUUUACUGCUACCUUGACGUUUAAAUAUCUUCUCACAAUGUUGGCCUUGAUAAGGUCUUUCCCCACUGUGUGUUCUUUUGUGUCUCUUCAAGUGACCUUGCUGUGUAAAUGUCUUACCACAAUGUUGACAUUGAUAAGGUCUUUCCCCACUGUGUGUUCUUUUGUGUGUCUUCAAGCUACUUUGCUGUGUAAAUGCCUUACCACAAUGUUGACAUUGAUAAGGUCUUUCCCCACUGUGUGUUCUUUUGUGUCUCUUCAAGUUACCUUGCUGUGUAAAUGUCUUACCACAAUGUUGACAUUGAUAAGCUCUUUCCCCACUGUGUGUUCUUUUGUG